rnacentral:rRNA from 1 species
AGAGUUUGAUCAUGGCUCAGAGUGAACGCUGGCGGCGUGCUUAACACAUGCAAGUCGAACGAUGAAACCUAGCUUGCUAGGUGGACUAGUGGCGCACGGGUGAGUAAUGGAUAGGUUACCUGCCUCAUAGUCUGGGACAACAGUUGGAAACGACUGCUAAUACCGGAUAUUCCCUACGGGGGAAAGAUUUAUUGCUAUGAGAUGGGCCUAUCUCCUAUCAGCUAGUUGGUAAGGUAAUGGCUUACCAAGGCUAUGACGGGUAGCUGGUCUUAGAGGACGAUCAGCCACACUGGAACUGAGACACGGUCCAGACUCCUACGGGAGGCAGCAGUGGGGAAUAUUGCACAAUGGAGGAAACUCUGAUGCAGCAACGCCGCGUGGAGGAUGACGCAUUUCGGUGUGUAAACUCCUUUUAUCAAGGAAGAAAUUGACGG